rnacentral:rRNA from 1 species
AGAUCCGUCGCUUCAGGAUGAGUCUGCGGCCGAUUAGGUAGUUGUUGGGGUAACGGCCCAACAAGCCUGUCAUCGGUACGGGUUGUGGGAGCAAGAGCCCGGAGAUGGAUUCUGAGACACGAAUCCAGGCCCUACGGGGCGCAGCAGGCGCGAAAACUUUACCAUGCGGGCAACCGUGAUAAGGAAACCCCGAGUGCCAGCACAGGCUGGCUGUCCACCAGUGUAAAUAACUGGUGAAGAAAGGGCCGGGCAAGACCGGUGCCAGCCGCCGCGGUAAUACCGGCGGCUCGAGUGGUGGCCGCUAUUACUGGGCUUAAAGGGUCCGUAGCUGGAUAUACAAGUCCCUUGAGAAAUCCGCCGGCUUAACCGGUGGGCGUUCAGGGGAAACUGUAUUUCUAGGGACCGGGAGAGGUGAGAGGUACUGCCGGGGUAGGAGUGAAAUCCUGUAAUCCCGGUGGGACCACCUAUGGCGAAGGCAUCUCACCAGAACGGGUCCGACAGUGAGGGACGAAAGCUGGGGGAGCAAACCGGAUUAGAUACCCGGGUAGUCCCAGCUGUAAACGAUGCGCGUUAGGUGUGUCAGUGACCACGUGUCACUGAGGUGCCGAAGGGAAACCGUGAAACGCGCC